AUAUACACACACACACACAUAUAUAUAUACACACUAUAUAUACUAUAUAUGUGUGUGUGUAUAUAUAU